rnacentral:rRNA from 1 species
UACGUAGGUCCCGAGCGUUGUCCGGAUUUAUUGGGCGUAAAGCGAGCGCAGGUGGUUUAUUAAGUCUGGUGUAAAAGGCAGUGGCUCAACCAUUGUAUGCAUUGGAAACUGGUAGACUUGAGUGCAGGAGAGGAGAGUGGAAUUCCAUGUGUAGCGGUGAAAUGCGUAGAUAUAUGGGGGAACACCGGUGGCGAAAGCGGCUCUCUGGCCUGUAACUGACACUGAGGCUCGAAAGCGUGGGUAUCAAACAGG